UUGACCUUUAAGGGGUUCACUAUUUACCGAGUGUGAAAGAUGAGGUACUCUGAUUCUAGUAGGGGCUUGCUCUCCUAAUACUGGAUUCAUUGCAGCUCAGGUUCUGACCCUUUGAAAUGGAUGUCUGAGUGGAGUGGAGGGAAGAGCAUGUGAUUGAUAGCUAGGCACAAUCCUGGGAAUCGGCUUACUUGGGCUUAUUUCAUUUUGGUCUGAAUGCUUCAUAACUGCCCCUUGGGAUGUGUGGAUUCUCAUGAACUCUUCCAAGAACAUGAGCGCUUUUAUCAUCUCUGCCAUCUGUUCUCUUUUAGACAUCAGUAAUCAUGGACCCAUUCUUGGAGCAGAGAAUUGAGUAAAUUUCUCAAGUACAAGUUCACACUCAGUAUGUUUCUGCCAGUAUCAGCGUGGUUCAGUAGCUCUCAUGAAUUCCUUUCGACCAUGGUAUUCUCUAGAGAUGUCUCCAUGACGAUAAUCUUCAGCGUAGCAGAACAAUUCUCAUCAAUGUGUUCGCACGUCUCCUCAGUCCAUGCAGCCAGCUUUUUGCCAACUUCUCUUCGUGUCUCCCAUAAAGUCGACGUCAAAAAGAAUGGGCAAGUCUGAACGUACCUUGGAGCCUCAGCUUUAAGCUGAUGACAGUUCUUCGACUGUAUGCCCUUUCAGAUUCUGGAAACUGACCCGUGAACUCAGGUCUUUGGGCAGCAGCAGUAUCUCCAACUUACACAGAUUCCCGAACCAAAGACUUAAGCCAAUCUCCACAUAGGGCGGCAGCCCCUCCAUCACACUGAUCCACCCACAGAAUUCUGCCCAGUUACCUUGGACCCACCAGCCGCAACAAGCCUCAUGGUACACACCAACAUUCCACCUGGAAUCCAACCGGUUUUCUGAGUCCUCAUCCUUUCUUUGGAAUAACAGACCACUCUUAUGCAAGUGUCCUGCGCCAAGGUCUGGGGGUCUAGAACUGAAGCCACAACAUCUCCCAGGAAUCCUGUAUGUAAAGUUUUCUUCCCAACAAGCAACAUACCUUCCAGGCUGCAGUCCCCAGUUGUCACAGCUCGCUGCAUCGAAUCCUCAGAUCUGGUCUUCGAAACACCUGGCUGUAAGAUAGAUAUGAGAAGACAUUCAAGAAGUACUGAUCCACAGCAAUGUGCACAUACUUAACAUGAGACGAAUCAUACGCUUGGAAUCAGCUAAGAUGGGCCAUCUGCUUUCCGUGCGUUACAGCACAAUUAAACACUGACACAGUGAUGCUCGGU